rnacentral:rRNA from 1 species
AUCUGUUGCCAGCAAGUAAGUGUUGGGGACUCAGGAUGGAACUGCCGGUGACAAACCGGAGGAAGGUGGGGACGACGUCAAGUCAUCAUGGCCCUUAUGUCCUGGGCUACACACGUGCUACAAUGGCCGGUACAGAGCGCAGCGAAGCCGCGAGGCAAAGCGAAUCGCAAAAAGCCGGUCUCAGUACGGAUUGGAGUCUGAAACCCGACUCCAUGAAGUUGGAAUCGCUAGUAAUCGCGCAUCAGCCAUGGCGCGGUGAAUACGGUUCCCGGCCUU